UACAGAGGGUGCGAGCGUUGUUCGGAAUUAUUGGGCGUAAAGAGCGCGCAGGCGGUCGUGCAAGUCGCGUGUGAAAGCCCCCGGCUCAACUGGGGAGGGUCACGCGAUACUGCUCGACUCGAAGGCAGGAGAGGGAAGUGGAAUUCCCGGUGUAGUGGUGAAAUGCGUAGAUAUCGGGAGGAACACCAGUGGCGAAGGCGACUUCCUGGCCUGUUCUUGACGCUGAGGCGCGAAAGCUAGGGUAGCAAACGGG
rnacentral:rRNA from 1 species